rnacentral:rRNA from 1 species
CGGAGGAAAAGAAACCAACAGGGAUUACCUCAGUAACGGCGAGUGAAGCGGUAACAGCUCAAAUUUGAAAUCUGGGUCUUUCAGGCUCCGAGUUGUAAUUUGUAGAAGAUGCUUCGGGUGCGGCUCCGGUCUAAGUUCCUUGGAACAGGACGUCACAGAGGGUGAGAAUCCCGUAUGUGAUCGGUUGCUUGCGCCCAUGUGAAGCUCUUUCGACGAGUCGAGUUGUUUGGGAAUGCAGCUCUAAAUGGGUGGUAAAUUUCAUCUAAAGCUAAAUAUUGGCCAGAGACCGAUAGCGCACAAGUAGAGUGAUCGAAAGAUGAAAAGCACUUUGGAAAGAGAGUUAAACAGUACGUGAAAUUGUUGAAAGGGAAGCGCUUGCAACCAGACUUGCGCGUUGUCGAUCAUCCGAGGUUCUCCUCGGUGCACUCGAUCUCGCUCAGGCCAGCAUCGGUUUCAGUGGUUAGAUAAAGGCCUUGGGAAUGUAGCUUCUUUCGGGGAGUGUUAUAGCCCUCGGUGCAAUGUAGCCUACUGGGACCGAGGACCGCGCUUCGGCUAGGAUGCUGGCGUAAUGGUUGUAAGCGACCCGUCUUGAAACACGGACCA